UUUUUUUGCUGACAAAAUGGGCAUUUUGGCGUUGUAACAUUAGGUUUUCCGCAUUUAUAACAAAAUAGAGCUCGUUGCUCAACUGGACAUUCCAUAAAUACAUGACCAGAAACUUUACAAUUCCAGCAAAUUACUGGUUGCUUUUGUUGUUGUUGUUGUCCAAAUUGCAAUGCAUCUACGUCAAUUAUUUCAGGACGAGUUAUGACAUCAUUAUCUUCGGCAUCAUCAUAAUAUAUUUCAUUUACUUGCCUAGACAUUCGUGUAGUUGGCAUAGGAUUUCUAAAUUCUUUUCUAGGGAAAUUUCUUUCCGCUUCGUUGCACUCAAUGCGUAACUGCUCUACUGAAGAAACUGAUAUAGGGUAAACUAUUCUUGCAACAUUUAGAUUAAGGUUUCUUUUAAAAAUUUUGAUCAUAUCAUAUUCUGGUAUAGGCUGUGUCAAUUUUGACCUCAGCUUAUUCAUCACAUGAAAAUAAUCAUCGAUCGAUUCAGAAUUUUCCUGUUUUCUUUCGACUAAAUCUCUCAUAACUUCAAAAUUAGACCUUGGUUUUUGAUAUUGUGAUAACAAGGCUAAGCGAAGAACUGGCCAUUCUGUCAUACCAUGCAUUCCUAUGAAAGACCAAUACCAAUCCUUUACCGAAUCUGAAACUAGUAAAUGAAAAUCUCGAACAACUUCUCUCUCGGGGAUAUUAUAAUGUGCCCUCAAAUGUUCCAAUCUAAAUAUAAAAUCAUCAAUAGUGAUAGAUUUGUUAUCAAAAACAAUACCUAAUUUAUCAAUCCUAAUUUGUCUAAAAUCAAAUAUCUCUUGAUUUCCAGGUCCAGCAUUAUUCUCCUUUCUCGACGGACAAUUUGCAGGAUGAUUAGCAGGGAAUUGGAAAUUAAAACCAGGAAGAUUGGGUGUACGAGUUGAAUAACGAUCAGGCAUCAACAUUAUGAACAUUUCCUACAUUGCGAAUGCGGUUGUUGUUGUUGGGAAAAUUAUUGGGAGUACUUCCCGUUUGAUUUGAGGCAACCACACGGGACAGAUUCUCUACAGCCUUGGCUAAAUCACCGAUGUUCUUUUUAAUAUCUACCAUCUCGUCCUGCACCAUUUUGCGGACUUUAUCUUCUAGAGAUCUUUGUACCAUCAUGGCUUCAUCUACCACCAAGUUUCUGACACCUGGUGCUAACCCCUCAUCAUUGCCUUCACAACUAACUACCGGAUUUGACACUACUGCUUCCCCCGGGGCUCCUGCUAUUAUCGUCCCAGAAAGGUUCUGUAUGGAUUGUGGAUCUAUUCAAAUCAAAAUCUGGAUUUCUAUUUCGUUUUCUAUUUUUUUGUAUUGCGAUUGAUGUACUUGCUUCUAUUUCACUUUGCCUAUUGUAUUUUCUAGUUUGAUUUCUAGUAUUAACAUUCAUACCUUUAACAUCUAAUCAUACACAAAAUUUACUAGACUAUUCACUAACGCUAAAAAAUAUAAACAAAUAUUGUAUAGGAUUUUAAAAAAUAACGAUAUGUAUGUAUACGAAAAACUAACAAACAAAAUUCAAACAAUUUUGCAAAAGCAAUAAUUUAAAAAAU